rnacentral:misc_RNA from 1 species
GAUGAAGAACGUAGCGAAAUGCGAUACGUAAUGUGAAUUGCAGAAUUCAGUGAAUCAUCGAAUCUUUGAACGCACAUUGCGCCCCCUGGCAUUCCGGGGGGCAUGCCUGUUCGAGCGUCAUUACAACCCUCAAGCUCUGCUUGGUAUUGGGCUCUGCUGGGACCGGCAGGCCUUAAAAUCAGUGGCGGCGCCACUCGGCUUCAAGCGUAGUAAUUCUUCUCGCUUCGGAGACCCGGGUGCGUGCUAGCCAGCAACCCCCAACUUUCUUAGGUUGACCUCGGAUCAGGUAGGGAUACCCGCUGAACUUAAGCAUAUCAAUAAGCGGAGGA